UACGUAGGGUGCAAGCGUUAAUCGGAAUUACUGGGCGUAAAGCGUGCGCAGGCGGUUAUGUAAGACAGUUGUGAAAUCCCCGGGCUCAACCUGGGAACUGCAUCUGUGACAGCAUAGCUAGAGUACGGUAGAGGGGGAUGGAAUUCCGCGUGUAGCAGUGAAAUGCGUAGAUAUGCGGAGGAACACCGAUGGCGAAGGCAGUUCUCUGGGCCGAUACUGACGCUGAGGCGCGAAAGCGUGGGGAGCAAACAGG
rnacentral:rRNA from 1 species